rnacentral:rRNA from 1 species
GACGAACGCUGGCGGCAUGCCUAAUACAUGCAAGUAGAACGCUGAAGUAGGAUCUUGCUUCGCUGGGUGAGUUGCGAACUGGUGAGUAACGCGUAGGUAACCUGCCUGGUAGCGGGGGAUAACUAUUUGAAACGAUAGCUAAUACCGCAUAAGAGUAGAUGUUGCAUGACAUUUGCUUGAAAGGUUCACUUGCUUCUCUACCAGAUGGACCUCCGUUGGAUUAGCUAGUUGGUGGGGUAACGGCUCACCAAGGCGACGGUACAUAGCCGACCUCAGAGGCGGAGAGCCCACGCUGGUCUGGGAGGAGGGCCAAGAACACUAGGAGAGGGAGCAGUCGGGAACCUCCGGGAAUGGCAGGAGUGGUGAACGAGGAACGCUGCGUGAGUGACGAAGGCAUCCGGAUCGUGAAGCUCAGUAGUACGAGAGGAACGAGUGUGAGAGUGGCCAGUGCAGACUGUGACGGUACCUUAAGAGAAAGCGACGGCUAACUACGUG